rnacentral:rRNA from 1 species
GACCCUGACCGUACCAUGUGGGAAACACCGGUUCUAGUCUGAUCACCGAAGUUAAGCAAUGAAGGGGCCGGUUAGUACAUGCACGGGUGACCGGUUGGGAAUACCGGGUGUCGGCGCCU